rnacentral:tRNA from 1 species
GGUUGUGGCUCAGUGGUAGAGCACUUGCCUAGCAUGUAUGAGGCACUGGGUUCAAUUCUCAGCACCA